rnacentral:rRNA from 1 species
UACGUAGGCAGCGAGCGUUGUUCGGAAUUACUGGGCGUAAAGAGUGUGUAGGCGGUGCUCUAAGUUUGGUGUGAAAUCUCCCGGCUCAACCGGGAGGGUGCAUCGAAAACUGGAGUGCUCGAGGGUGGGAGAGGUAAGCGGAAUUCCUGGUGUAGCGGUGAAAUGCGUAGAUAUCGGGAGGAACACCUGUGGUGUAGACAGCUUACUGGACCACUUCUGACGCUGAGACACGAAAGCGUGGGUAGCAAACAGG